UUUAAAGCCAAAACCAGUAGCCAUUUUCCCCUAACUUGAAAAAUACCCAUUUCUCCAUUUUUAGACUUUGAGAGCUCGAAAAUAGGUGAUUUCAAGUGGGUUUUCGCAAGGAAUUCAUUGGAUUGUGGUGAUUUGGAGCGUGCUCGGAAGGG